UGGGGAAUAUUGGACAAUGGGCGAAAGCCUGAUCCAGCAAUGCCGCGUGUGUGAAGAAGGCCUUCGGGUUGUAAAGCACUUUUGUCCGGAAAGAAAUCCUUGGCUCUAAUACAGUCGGGGGAUGACGGUACCGGAAGAAUAAGCACCGGCUAACUACGUGCCAGCAGCCGCGGUAAUACGUAGGGUGCAAGCGUUAAUCGGAAUUACUGGGCGUAAAGCGUGCGCAGGCGGUUUGCUAAGACCGAUGUGAAAUCCCCGGGCUCAACCUGGGAACUGCAUUGGUGACUGGCAGGCUAGAGUAUGGCAGAGGGGGGUAGAAUUCCACGUGUAGCAGUGAAAUGCGUAGAGAUGUGGAGGAAUACCGAUGGCGAAGGCAGCCCCCUGGGCCAAUACUGACGCUCAUGCACGAAAGCGUGGGGAGCAAACAGGAUUAGAUACCCUGGUAGUCCACGCCCUAAACGAUGUCAACUAGUUGUUGGGGAUUCAUUUCCUUAGUAACGUAGCUAACGCGUGAAGUUGACCGCCUGGGGAGUACGGUCGCAAGAUUAAAACUUAAAGGAAUUGAC
rnacentral:rRNA from 1 species